GGAUAGGACCACUUGGCGCAUACCUUGUGGUGGAAAGCUUUUGCGGUGUGGGAGCUUUNUGGGCCCGCGGCCUAUCAGCUUUUGGGUGUGGUGACGGCCUACCAAGGCGACGACGGGUAGCCGGCCUGAGAGGGUGUCCGGCCACACUGGGACUGAGAUACGGCCCAGACUCCUACGGGAGGCAGCAGUGGGGAAUAUUGCACAAUGGGCGCAAGCCUGAUGCAGCGACGCCGCGUGGGGGAUGACGGCCUUCGGGUUGUAAACCUCUUUCACCAUCGACGAAGGUCCGGGUUUUCUCGGAUUGACGGUAGGUGGAGAAGAAGCACCGGCCAACUACGUGCCAGCAGCCGCGGUAAUACGUAGGGUGCGAGCGUUGUCCGGAAUUACUGGGCGUAAAGAGCUCGUAGGUGGUUUGUCGCGUUGUUCGUGAAAUCUCACGGCUUAACUGUGAGCGUGCGGGCGAUACGGGCAGACUAGAGUACUGCAGGGGAGACUGGAAUUCCUGGUGUAGCGGUGGAAUGCGCAGAUAUCAGGAGGAACACCGGUGGCGAAGGCGGGUCUCUGGGCAGUAACUGACGCUGAGGAGCGAAAGCGUGGGGAGCGAACAGGAUUAGAUACCCUGGUAGUCCACGCCGUAAACGGUGGGUACUAGGUGUGGGUUUCCUUCCUUGGGAUCCGUGCCGUAGCUAACGCAUUAAGUACCCCGCCUGGGGAGUACGGCCGCAAGGCUAAAACUCAAAGGAAUUGACGGGGGCCCGCACAAGCGGCGGAGCAUGUGGAUUAAUUCGAUGCAACGCGAAGAACCUUACCUGGGUUUGACAUGCACAGGACGCGUCUAGAGAUAGGCGUUCCCUUGUGGCCUGUGUGCAGGUGGUGCAUGGCUGUCGUCAGCUCGUGUCGUGAGAUGUUGGGUUAAGUCCCGCAACGAGCGCAACCCUUGUCUCAUGUUGCCAGCGGGUAAUGCCGGGGACUCGUGAGAGACUGCCGGGGUCAACUCGGAGGAAGGUGGGGAUGACGUCAAGUCAUCAUGCCCCUUAUGUCCAGGGCUUCACACAUGCUACAAUGGCCGGUACAAARGGCUGCGAUGCCGCGAGGUUAAGCGAAUCCUUUUAAAGCCGGUCUCAGUUCGGAUCGGGGUCUGCAACUCGACCCCGUGAAGUCGGAGUCGCUAGUAAUCGCNNAUCNGCAACGCUGCGGUGAAUACGUUCCCGGGCCUUG
rnacentral:rRNA from 1 species